rnacentral:rRNA from 1 species
CAGUCGCCGCGGUAAUACGUAGGUGGCAAGCGUUGUCCGGAAUUAUUGGGCGUAAAGGGCUCGCAGGCGGUUUCUUAAGUCUGAUGUGAAAGCCCCCGGCUCAACCGGGGAGGGUCAUUGGAAACUGGGAAACUUGAGUGCAGGAGAGGAGAGUGGAAUUCCACGUGUAGCGGUGAAAUGCGUAGAGAUGUGGAGGAACACCAGUGGCGAAGGCGACUCUCUGGUCUGUAACUGACGCUGAGGAGCGAAAGCGUGGGGAGCGAACAGGAUUAGAUACCCCAGUAGUCCCUGUCUCUUAUAC